rnacentral:lncRNA from 1 species
CUGUUUCAGGUACUGGGAAUAUGGCAAAAGAACAAAGCAAAUGAAAAUCCCUGCUGUGAUGAUUUGUGGAGCUUGAGGAACUGAACAACAAAUAAGAAAUUGGCAAAGUGAGGAAGAGUGAAGGUUUAGAAGAGGAAAGGAUGAACUAGGAUACAAUAGAAUGAGAUAUGCCACCUCCUGGGUCUGCUGUUUUACCUAGUGCCUCUCUAGCCGCUGGACGGGAGAUCUGCAGAGCCUUAUGAUCUUGUCUGUCUCCGACUCAACCAAAUCAGAGGCAAAUGGAAAAAUACUGCCUCAGAACAAAAAUGUGCACAUAAUUUGAAUGGUGGAAGCUUGGGAUACACUUGCAAAGAGAAGAGGCAGCUCCAAGUCUAUUUAGGCACAGCUCUUAAGUAACAAGAGAGGAGGGGCAAAGGCAGGUGUCCACUAGGCUGGGCUCUGAACUGGGAAGUGGGGUAAGGGGAAAGAUAAGAGCCCCAGGGAGGUUGGAGACUGUGGGAUUAGGGGCUCCCUUCACCCAGGAACCAAGGAGCUGGGGCAGAGGAGGAUUUUAAGGACAACUUUGGAGUUAGAGGAUAAGAGUUUGGAGUUGGGAUUCUGCCCUUUCAUGCUGAGUUUCUGCACAUGGCCAAAAAUCUCUUUAGCUUGGCUCAUGCUGUAUCAGGCGGUCGUGCUAGCCCAGGGCUUGGGACACUGCCCAAAUUAAGCUUUCUUCUAGGGCUAAGUCCUAAGCUAGAGGCAUGGGUUAGUGGCUCCAGCUUGCCUUGGGGAGGUCAAAGUAAUACCCUAGGCAUCAUACAUCUUCUUGGAGGUUCCACCUAACUUCUAGAAUUAGC